ACCCGUGAAACUUAUGAUUCUGCUGUUCAUGAUUUACGAUCUUAAGACAGUCAAGACAUCAAAGAAAUAAAGUAAUGACUGACUUGGAGACAACAUUUCUACGUACUGCCAUCACUGAGGUCUUGCCUAACCUUCCAGAGGCAACAAAAGACAUUUUAGAGGAGACAUUGCAAUCCAUUGGAGUGGAGACAUAUGAUGAUUUUAAGUUUAUUGAGGAAUCUGAUUUGCUAACGGCAUUAAGGCCAAUCCAAGCUCGAAAAGUCCUUGCUGCUUGGAAGUUAAGAUGCCAGACACCAGAAACAAGCAGCUCACCACAACCUUCCACAGCCUUGCAUAGUUCACCUGCAAGUUCUCAAUCAUCCUCCACCAGUAUCUCCCAAAGCCCAGAUGUAGACUGGGUGGAUACGUUUCUGAUACCAUGGGAUAAAUUUCCUCAGGAACUAAUGCAAUUUUUGGAGAGAGGAAAACGACCAAGUCCACGAAUGAGAAGAGAGAUGGUCCGGAUUGUGGCCAAUCCUGCUUUUCAUCGAAGCGUUUCAUGCUGUGUGUGGAUCGAACUGUUGUACAUGACAACAUCCCCUCCUUCAUUUCCGCCCUGUGCAUGAUGUUUGGGAGCUAUUAUUGCUUCAACAUCCAUUACCCAUCAGAGCUGGCAUCAACCUUGGAGUUUUUGCAGAGGUGUUUCUUCUCUAUCAACCCAGAGAAAGGCACUAAAGUGGAGAAGACAAACACAGCCCGUCUUCAUGUGAACCCAAGAGUUCUUACCUUGAUUCAGGAACUUUCCGAUCAUGAAUGGCGUGAUGUCUAAAUACGGACUGAAGUCAGUCAGGUUUGGACAUACAGUGAAUGCCAGUUUCUCAGGUUUGUUUGAUCUGCCAUGCUUAAUGUAUGUGUUAUUACACAACUGUUAGAGUUUUUAUUGCUCUAGUGUUUUCUGAAUUAAGUUAUUCCUGA
ensembl:processed_transcript